AUUCCUACGGGGGGCAGCAGUGGGGAAUAUUGCACAAUGGGGGGAACCCUGAUGCAGCGACGCCGCGUGGGCGAUGGAGUAUUUCGGUAUGUAAAGCCCUAUCGGCAGGGAAGAAAAUGACAGUACCUGACUAAGAAGCCCCGGCUAACUACGUGCCAGCAGCCGCGGUAAUACGUAGGGGGCGAGCGUUAUCCGGAUUCACUGGGCGUAAAGGGAGCGCAGGCGGCACGGCAAGCCUGGUGUGAAAACCCGGGGCCCAACCCCGGGCGUGCCUUGGGCACUGCCGCGC
rnacentral:rRNA from 1 species